UUAAAUUCUUCUUUUACGGAGAGUUUGAUCCUGGCUCAGAACGAACGCUGGCGGCGUGCUUAAUACAUGCAAGUCGAACGUGAAGUGUAGCAAUACAUGGAAAGUGGCGAAC
rnacentral:rRNA from 1 species